AGAGAGGGUACGUGGUGAACAGGUUGCGCAUAUCUCGGUGCUGCUCCUCUGCCCUCGCUGCCAUGGCGCUCGCGCUGUCUCUCUCUCUCAUAUGGGUGUGAGCUUCAUCUCUCUGAGUGAAAGAGAAGGGAGCGAUGGUGAUGAAGGUGCGGCCGCCUCCGCCGCCUCCUUCGCUUCGUUCGGUUGCUUCUGCUGCAGGGGUAAUGGUGGAGGAGGAGGCGAAGAAGAGGAGCGGGAGAGGGGAGGUGGACAGUUCUGUCCCGUUCCGCUCGGUGAAGGAGGCCGUCGAACGGUUUGGCGGCGGGAGUUCCGCCGCGUGGAGGCCGCAUUCCUGCCCCUCGCUUCUACUUUCUCCCGAGGAUGUUGAGCUUAUGAAAAUAGAAGAACAAACUGUGAAAUUGGAGAUGGAUCUUUUUCUUAAGGAAAGAGAAACACUUAGUGUGCUAAAAGAACUGGAAAUGGCUAAAAAGAAGGCAGAUGGUUUAAAAUUACGACUACAUAUGGAAGCCAGUAAAGCCAUUGAAGAAACUGAUAGAUGCUCAGAUAAAAUGAUGAUGCCUUCUAGUUUAAAUCAGCAACAGAAGUGUUUCAUCUAUUAUGGAAAUCAUAGAGAAUUCAAAGAUCAAAUUUUUUAUCAGGAACAAACCAAACAAACCCCUUGUUCGACAUUAAGGGAAUUGAACCAAGCUAAGUUGUACCUGAAGACUACAAGCGGUUUAGUUGGGUGUCAAAAUUCAGUUGAACUUCUAAGAAGUGCAAUAGAGAAGGAGAAAAAGUUGCUUAAGGAAACCUGUGAAAGGCUCAACUCAAAGACUGUUCAAGUCUCAUGCUUGGAGAAAGAAAUAAGCCUAACAUUAGAUCAAACAAAUCUAAUUAAAGGCACAAAAAGGCGAGAUUAUAGAAGUUCUUCCGAUGUAUUGAGUUGUAUGAAAGAGCUAAGAUCUGACACAGAGAAGUUCAAAAGAAUUGCUGCAGCUGCUAAAACUGAAAUGUCCAAGUUAUCUCUUGAUAUCCAACAGGCUAAGUCUGGUAUCAAGGCUGCCGAGCUGAGGUUUGCCGCAGCUAAAAAAGUGGAAGCUGCAGCCAGGAAUGCAGAGGCUACAACUCUUUCCAAAGUCAAAUCGUUAACAGAUGGUGAAAAAACAGAUGCUGAGUCGCGAACUGCAUCUGGAGUUACGAUUGCUGUUGACAAGUAUGACAUGCUGAUCAAAAGAGCCCAAGGUGCUGAUCAAACUCUGAGAAAGAGAAUGGAAGCUGCUAUGAAUAAUCUGAAAGGAGCACAGGAGUCUAAACUGGAGUUACUCAAAAAGUUGGAAGAAGCGAAUGCAGAUGUUGAAACAAGUAGGAAAGCCUUACAUGAGGCCCUAAAGAAGGGUGAAGAUGCAAAUCAAGGUAGGCUUGCAAUUGAAGAAGCACUUAGGAAAUGGAAGCUCCACAAUGAUAGGACUCGUCGAUCAAAUCUAACCAACACCAAAUUCAAGAACUCGGCAGCCCCUCAUCAAAGGCGCUCAUGGAUACUUGAUGUGAAUGGAAUAAGCUUGAUUUCUGCAGGACCAAGUCAUAGAAGAGAUGCCCCCUCUCUUUCGAUUGGGCAGAUCCUCAGCAGAAAGCUCAAUGGUUCUGAAGAGCAUGAAUCACAAGCACUUCAGAUCGUGAAUGGAAGACCUAAGGUUUCGCUACGCCAAAUGCUGAGCAGAAAGGAUGACUUUUUGUCCCCUAGAAUGAUCACUGAUGGAGCACAAAAACCAUGUUUAACAACGAGGAAGAAGUUCAGUGUCUUAGUACUUUCGCUUUUCUUGGCGAAGCAAAAGAAGCAGCACCAGAAGCAGUCUAUGGGUUCACCAGCUAUCUUCCGCGGCAAGAAUAUCUUGCGAUAAGGACAUGAGAAGCAUCCACCAGAUGGCCUUUUCACACAAGGCAAAAAGGAGGAAAAGAGGAGAAGAAACAGCAGUCAACAGCUGCAGGCCAUCUCUAAGCACAGAAGAAGAUGAAACACCAGUUUUCUUCCUCCGAACAACACACUGCAAGAUCUAGGAUCAGGAUCAGGCUCAUGAGACAGAACUAGUGGACAGCACAUGUAUUCAAGCGAGAAUGAGGUAAAUGAAUCAUCUACUGGCUGGAAAAGUGCUUCCGCUGAGGCACUCCUUAGCUCUCCAUUGCACAAUUCCUGCAUGAGAGCAGAAAACCAACUUCAAUAAGCAAAAGUCAUUGUUUCCCUGACUAGAAAUUAUAUUACCUGGAGUGUUUUACCGAUUGUAA